GGUCAGUGAAAAUGAUUCCGAGUGACUAAUGGAAACAAAUGCUCCAAAAAUACAAAGAAGAAGAGGAACCCUCCAAACAAACAAACAAAAAAGCAAUGUGAGAAAGCCAACCAAGCUACUGCUUCCAGAGAAAGCCACAACUGGACAGGAUGCAGAUUGUGGAGAAGACCAGCUCCAACAGAUUCAUCUACAUCACAGCUCCUGCAUCUGUGCUUCAGGGAACAUUAUGGAAGAGAGGACACAAAGAUUGUAAGAGCCAGUAUACCAGAUCACACUUCUGCUGAUCCUACUUGACUGGAGAGUGGUGACAAGUUCAGAGAGCACUGAUGAUCCUCAGAAAGAGGAUGAACUGGAGGCAGCUGCUGGAAAUGUUGUCACAUGACUGGGGAUCCUGAAUGCUCUGCUGAGUUUGAUGAUACCAUCCUCUGAAUGAAGCUGCUUUGUCCCAUAAUGAUUCUGGUAGCACUAAUCAGGUGAUGAAGCAGAGCAAAGCACUGACCUCCUCUGUGAUGUUUUCUUAAGAUCAAGAACGAACUUAUUAUCAUUGAGCACCUUCAGCGUCUUCAUUUUAGAGAUGAGAAAAAUGAGGUCCAGGGACGUAAUGAUACUUAUCUGAGGCAAGAGUACACACAGCUGGACAGAGGAAACAAGAUUAGGCUACAAAACAGACAACUCCCAAACUGGACUGGAAAGCUGCUCCUGUUCAUGUCAUACCUUCUUGCUGAUUGACACGGGCCCUUUUGCUCUGUAUCAUCAUCCUGUUUCAUGGUGACAAACCAGGCAUUAGUUGUCGUAAGGGCAUGCUGAAGAACAGAACAGGUAGCAAACCUUUACCAACGCAACAGCACACAGAUUUCCUGAAUUACUUUAAUUAUACUCAGUG